UUUGUUCAUAGAAGAAUUAUCUAGAGACUUUUUGGAUUCCAGAGAAACCUCUGGAGAAAGGGUAACCAAAAGGCAGAGCAGCCCCUAAAGGUAUGCUACUUCUAAUCAGCAGCUGAGGGUUUAUUGGGCGGUAGAUGAAGCGCUCUAGUGCAGUGGAGCUAUGCUUCAGGAUUGGCUUUUAUUUCUCUCAUCACUGAUCCUAGGCAUAAUGAUUGAAAUUGAAGUUCACACCUUGGUGACCUUGACUUGUAAUCAAUUUGGAUUCUUUCCUGAGAUACCAACAGUUACAUGUGGGCCAUUGA